GUCAAGCGAGCUGUCUAGCACGUGCAGACAAUGCACUAUCAUCAAUACAAACCAAACAUCCGAACGCAUGAAAGUUUUGCGCUUUUGGAUUAUAAGGACUAAACGGGAUCAAGCCUCAAUGGACUUUCACGUGUUUUAGAUAAAACUCUUCGAGGAUAACUUCCUGACAUAGAAAGAAGAGUUGAACAUACAGUAAAAGUGAAAGGCAUACAGAUUUGGAACAACAUGAGGUUGGAGUUCAGCGGCAAAGAGCAUCAAGGAAGCAUUACCACAUCACUCACAGUUCAGCUGUCCAGCGUAGCCCUGACCUCCUGAACCUUGACUUUACCUGACCUCUCUUCAGACUCGGUUUAACCAGCUCAGCGUCUCUCAGUAUCAGAUCUAGAGGGAGAGAGAGAGGGGAGCGAUCGAGGAGACGCAUCAGGAUACCAGCCUGCCUGGAGCUGCACCCAAACAUCAAGGGAGUCUGGCAUGCCCAUGAGCCGUGUUCAGGUUUCUCUACCAACUAUAAAAUCGGAUGGUUGGAGGGCAACUGGGAGAAGAGAGAUGUUCCGCAGAAACGCAUGCUGUUCAAAAUAUCGUUCAGAGAAAAGAACGUCAAUAGGUUUGAGCAUCUUGCCAAAUUUUCCAUCAAUUUAAAUACACAUGUUGUUGUGUAAACAGAAACAAGCGGUCCAGAGCACUCCUCCCAGAGACGGAGUAACGUGGAGACCCUGAUGAAGACAGAUCCUAUCAUUAGCAUUGCACUCACAUAGGGCCCCAUAGGGAACCGUGUAAAUGCUACUAGCCUUUUCUCUUAAUGUAGGUGUCUCUGUUAUAGAUUGUUUGCCAUUUUGAAAAAUAUGCAACCUUGUCUUUUGCCAUUUUUUACAUCUUUGCAUGAGGUACCAUAAAAGCUAUGUGUACGGUAUAUAUACAGUAUAAGUCACAUUUGCUGAUACUCGCUACCUGAGACUUUUACUUUCAUAAACAUAUUUAAACAUAUUUUUGUGUCAUAUUCAUACUUGCCAGCUUUAGUUUUUUGCGAUUAAGGUUAUGAUGCACACAACUGAGCUAAUGCUACCACAUCACAAAUUUACCUGCAAAUAAAGCUAUGACGUUGUUAAUGAGCGUGUUUAUGGCUGGAAAUAGCAAAUAGCAUACAUAAGGCAACA